UCGUUAGAUCACCGAAGUCAAGCAUCAUUGGGCGCGGUCAGUACUUGGGUGGGUGACCACCUGGGAACACCACGUGCCGUU